CCUUUGUUGUCCGACUCUGUUGCCUCCGGGGCGACCCUGCCUUCGGGCGGGGGCUCCGGGUGGACACUUCAAACUCUUGCGUAACUUUGCAGUCUGAGUAAACUUAAUUAAUAAAUUAAAACUUUUAACAACGGAUCUCUUGGUUCUGGCAUCGAUGAAGAACGCAGCGAAAUGCGAUAAGUAAUGUGAAUUGCAGAAUUCAGUGAAUCAUCGAAUCUUUGAACGCACAUUGCGCCCCCUGGUAUUCCGGGGGGCAUGCCUGUUCGAGCGUCAUUUCACCACUCAAGCCUCGCUUGGUAUUGGGCAACGCGGUCCGCCGCGUGCCUCAAAUCGACCGGCUGGGUCUUCUGUCCCCUAAGCGUUGUGGAAACUAUUCGCUAAAGGGUGUUCGGGAGGCUACGCCGUAAAACAACCCCAUUUCUAAGGUUGACCUCGGAUCAGGUAGGGAUACCCGCUGAACUUAAGCAU
rnacentral:rRNA from 1 species